GACCUCUUAGCUCAGUGGUAGAGCAUGUGAUUCCAGCUCCAAUUUCAAAUUGAAUUGGAAAUUCCACAAGGCCGUCCGUUCAAUCCGGGCAGAGGUCA
rnacentral:tRNA from 1 species